rnacentral:rRNA from 1 species
GACGAACGCUGGCGGCGUGCUUAACACAUGCAAGUCGAACGGUAAGGCCCUUCGGGGUACACGAGUGGCGAACGGGUGAGUAACACGUGGGUGAUCUGCCCUGCACUUUGGGAUAAGCCUGGGAAACUGGGUCUAAUACCGGAUAGGACUCCGGACUGCAUGGUCUGGGGUGGAAAGCUUUGGCGGUGGGGGAUGGGCCCGCGGCCUAGCAGCUUGUAGGUGGGAUGAUGGCCUACCAAGGCGACGACGGGUAGUCGGCCUGAGAGGGUGAACGGCCACACUGGGACUGGGAUACGGCCCAGACUCAUACGGGAGGCAGCGGUGGGGAAUAUUGCACAAUGGGCGCCAGCCUGAUGCAGCGACGCCGCGUGAGGGAUGACGGCCUUCGGGUUGUAAACCUCUUUCAGCAUCGACGAAGCGAAGGUGACGGUAGGUGCAGAAGAAGGACCGGCCAACUACGUGCCAGCAGCCGCAGUAA